GCGCUUGUAGCUUACUGGUUAGAGCGCCUAUUUCCUAAGUUGAAGGUCAUAGGUUUGACCCUCACCUGGCGCG
rnacentral:tRNA from 1 species